ensembl:snoRNA
AUUUUUAGUCUAUAAGUGUGAUGAUUGGGUGUUCAUAUGCAUAUGUGAGAUCUGUCACCCUCAAACUUUGUUAAGAUGUCAUGAGCAUGUUACCCUUGUGGUA